UUUAAAGUAGGAAAAGAUCAUAUUUUCGCAACCCACUUAUUUUAGCUCAUACAAUUAUCAACUAGGCCCAAAAAGGAAAACAUUUGAGACAGUCCACCAAUAAACCCCAAAUCAGCCCAAAGCCUAAAUCACUCUCAGGCCGUUUUACUCUUCAGUUAAGCAAAAUAGGGAAACAAAUUAGGGUUCAAACUUUUCAUCUCUAUGCUCAGCCGCAUACACCCCUACCCUCUCCAUCUCUCAUUUCCAGCAAACUUUGACCUUUAUCAUGUCGUGAACAGACCUUGUCCACCCCUUUUCAAGCAAAAAUCGCCCUUUUUCUGCUUCCGUUUGGCAAUUUUCUCGUCUCACGCUCCAAAUCACAUAAAAUAUCUCCAAAGACCAUAGCAUAUUCCACCAUUUCGGGAAACUCUGAAUAGAUCACGUGAUGGUCCGCAAGUUCGUCCAAAAUCUGCCAACGUUCACUUUGAAAAGAUUUUUUGGACUGGAUUUCGAAAAACGGUCUCAAAUCUCGUCCAAGCUUGAACCCUAGGAUUUUCGCCUAUAAAUACUACCUUUAACUCCAGCCGAAACCAAGUUGGAAAACCAUCAAAAAAUCUCUCUAUAGAAUUUCAGUUUGAAUCCUAGAAAGCAUUGCUGUAAUAAUAAAUUUACUUAACCGACAUAAAUCAAGUAUAUACGCUCAUGUGUUUAGUAUCCUUUUUUUUCUCUAUAGAAAUGGUGUUGUAUGGAUGUUUCCAUCUGUUGUGACCCAUUCAUAUGUCUGAAUGUUGUUGUAGAAAACAUGAUUCUAGGAAUUAAUCUUCUAUCCAUAUAUUAUAGAAAUCAUGUCCAAUUAAAUAUAUUGCUCCUACGUGCUGCCCAUUUAAGCUCUUGAUAAGUUCAAAUAUUAAUAAAAACAUCCAUGAAAAUGAGUUUAUUUAUUUUAGAUGUCAAUUUCCAUUUUGGACAGAAUAUUUAUUUAUGAAUAUGUGUGUCUGAGCUUUAGAAUUCUUAUUAGGAAUGACUACUUUUACUUAACAUGUUGAUGCCCUGUAUUGUUAAAUCAUAAGGGAGGUUCUGAUUUUGGCCAUUCAUGCUUUAAAAUACUACAAGUCUAUUUUCCAUGUUUAAAGUCAUGAUAUAGGAUUUUUUUAAUUUUUUUUUUGGUGUUAACUUGAUGUUUUCCUAAUAUGUAUGUAUCAGCUCUAAGCUUCUGUGUGGAGCUACUCUUUGUUUUUUAAAUAUUAAAGGACAUGGGCUAUAGAUUAUCGUUAUCUUUUCACUAUGAAGAAAUUGCCUCAAUUAAAGGUUAAGUUAUCGUUUGCAUGCUAAAAUAUUUGAGGCAAAACUCUUUAUGGCUAUAUGUAUCGUCUACGUGCUUAAGUCAUGGAGUUUUGUUAUCACAAGUAUUUAAUAUAAGGACAAUUUGUUUAAUGGCUGUGGAGUAAGCUGCUAAUAUCACCUAUAGAAUAUGAUUUGUCUCAUGUUAUAAGAUUUACAUAAGUGUUCUUAAACUCCAGUUCAUGUGUUGGUCCUUUCAAGUUAUUUCUUUUUCAUUCCUUUUGGUAUUGAUAAUGGCAGACACUUUCUUACCAAUUCAUGUUUUUUGUUCCUUAUUUGCCAACAAUGGAGACGAAGAGUCUCGAUUUGAGACUCGACGUUGUUGUUAAACUCGGAAGCUACAUCUACUCUUCAUUCGUUCCCCUCGCUCUCUCUUGAAAUAUUUCUGAAUAGAGACUAAAUGGGAGAUGAGGAGACAUGGCUUAUAUCCUGUCGUGGCUCUCUUUCAUUUUAUUGUUAUAAAUAUUAUGUUGGUUUUGAUGCUGUCUGUUUCUAGCUUUAAUUCAUUUUAAUGAUACUUAUGUAAUCUUUACUUGACUGAAAUUAGGCUAAUCUAGCUAAGUCCGAGGCCCUUUUUCAGUUUUAGGUAAAUCUAGUUUUGAAAUAGCAGGUCAUUGAUAACUUUGGUGAAAUUUUUUAUAAAAAAAAGGAAAACAAAAAUCAGUUUUCCAUGGAAAUGUUUGGCAACCAGACUUUACAAAGCAAUGCAGGUUUGGUUUUAGUCAUAAAAAUGGAAAAUCAUUUUGAAAUGGUUAAGUUCACUAUUGUCAAAAUUUUAGUCCAAAAUAACGUCACUAUGCUCUUUCUUUCUUGAUAUUUAAUCACUGCCAUAAGUUAGACAUUAAUAUGCUCAUUUAUAUCAACUCUUACAUCCAGUUUAGUUUUAUUUUAAUAAAUUUAAGUUCGGACGGUUAACCGUUUUAAUACGGAUCUUAAAGGGUGCUUAACACCUUCCCUUUAGAUUAAUUGAACUCUUACCUAGAAUCUUAGGUUAGUAGACUUUAAACGGAGUUAAUAUUAAGUGAUUGAUAGGUGUCCUAAUUCACCUCUAAAUUAAUUAGGUGGCGACUCCUUAAAUUAGUUAAUUAAUUUAGGAAUCUCCAAUAUGUUUUACUCUAAUUUAAUCCGAUCAAAAUGGGGUAUAGAAGUUAGCUAAGAUGUAUAUUCGGAAUAUUGUGAGAUUACAUGGGGUUUCUAUUUCUGUUGUAUCUGAUCGGGGUACUAUCUUCACCUCCCGAUUUUGGAGGGCAUUUCACGAGCAGUUGGGUACCUUCGGAUCUUACUACAGCUUUCCAUCCCUAUAUCGAUGGCCAGUCCGGGCGGACCAUUCGGGUGCUCGAGGACAUGUUGAGAGCUUGUGUUAUUGAUUUCGGUGGUCAUUGGGAUCAGCAUUUUCCCUUGGUAGAGUUUGCGUACAAUAACAGUUAUCAUUUGAGUAUUGGCAUGGUGCCUUUUGAAGCCUUAUAUGGUAGGAGAUGUAGAUCUCCGAUUGGUUGGUUUGAUGGAUUUGAGGCUCGAGCUUAGUGUACGGAUCUAUUGAGAGAGUCCCUUGAUAGGGUGAGAGUUAUUUAGGCCAAGCUUUUGGCAUCUCAGAGUCGGAAAAAGAUGUAUGCGGACUGGAAGAUUCGGGAAUUAAAGUUUGCUAUUGGUGACUAGGCUCUAUUGAAGGUUUCACCCAUGAAAGGUGUUAUGAGGUUUGGUAAGAGGGGCAAGUUUAACCCCAGGUACAUUGGUCCGUUUGAGAUCGUGGAUUGUAUCGGUGAUGUAGCUAAUGAGUUAGCAUUGCUGCCAGGCUUGGCUAGAGUUCAUCCGGUCUUUCAUGUUUUGAUGCUAAAGAAGCACCAUACCGACGGUACCUUCAUUGUCCGUUGGGAUUCUAUAUUGCUUGAUGCGAAUUUGACUUAUGAGAAGGAGCCUAUCGCCAUCUUGGAUAGGCAGGUUCGGAAGUUGAGGUCAAAGGAAAUUGCUUCUGUGAAGGUGCAAUGGAAGCACCGUCCUGUGGAGGAGGCUACUUGGGAGACCGAGUCCGAUAUGCAUAGCCGAUAUCCUCAGUUAUUCACUGAUUCAAGUAUUUCCCUACAUUUCUUCGCUCGAGGACGAGCGAAGGUUCAAUUGGUAUCUGAUUUAACGACCACGUCAUAGUCUUUUCGAUAUUUUCGCCCGUUCCCGAGCAUUAAUUACCUCACUUUUGACCCGAGGGGACGGUUGACACGCUUUUCGAGGUGUCUAGAUCGGAUUCGGGCAUCUUUUGGGAAUUGUAGGCUUAAAGUGAAAAAUGGUUGACCCAAAGUUGACUUUUGGGCAAACGAACCUUUUCGGAAUUUCAUCGAUUCCGAGAGGUCCGAAUGGCUGUUUAGAACUUGUGUGUGUAUUUGGUUCGGUUCCCAAUGCACUCGAAUGCAUUUCGGGACUUGAGUUUGGAAAUUGGAACUAAGGCAUCAAGGGUUGACUCGGUCAACAAGACCUCCGUUGGGAAUUCUGAGGCCACGAGCACAUUCGUAGUGCAUUUUUAUGGAACUAGUCAAAAAAUCGAAUCGAAUUGCGGAAUUUGGAAAGUUUUCUGGUGUUUGGUGCCCGCUUUGGCGGCACCAGCACCGCGGUAGCGGCACCGCUGGGGCGGUAACCCUGACGCUGAAGUGGUCCAAGCAUUUUAGGCUUGACCGCUGAGCAGCAUCACUGGGGAUAUUUGGAGGAGAAUCUUAGAGACUACUUUGGUUCCGAGGUUCAGCGGAAGGGCAAGGCAAAUGAGUGAGUUGUUGGUGUUGCGGUUCGGCCAUCCAGGUAAGUUAUGGCUUACCCUUGGUGAGACUUCGUAUAGCGAAACACAUAUUUAGAUUAUAUUGUUGGAGACAGCAUGUGAACCUUUGGGUAUGAAGUUGGGUUGAAUAUUGCCUUAGGUUGGGCCCUGUUGUGUAUUGGGACUAGUCACCCCGUUGUGUUGUGCUUGACUGUUCUAUGGUGUUGACUUGAGGCCAUGAGUUGUUAGUAGAUAUUAGAUCCUGUUAUUCAUCUUGAUUUGGAUAUAUUAUUGGCAUGCCCACUGUGGUAUUUGUGGUUCGGAUACAUUGUUGGCAUACCCACUAUUGGAGUUGUGAUAUUGAUACAUUGUUGGCAUACCCACUAUUGGAAUUGUGAUAUUGAUAUAUUGUUGGCAUACCCACUGUUGGUAUUGUGAUAUGAUACAUUGUUGGUGUACCCCAUUGUUGGUACUUGUGAUAUUGAACUUGAUUGUUGAUGUCGACAAAUGCAUUGCACGCAUUUUCACUCAUUCAUGAUGCAUAGCUGAUCCCCGGUGAUGAUCCGGUAUCGUUGAUUGAGUAAACUGAUAUUUGACAAACUCUUUUACUUGAGUGAUUGUGAGAUGGCUGAUAUCGGAGGUUCAAUUCCGGAAUUGUUGAUUGUGUGAAACUGAUAUUUGACAACUCUUUUAUUUGAGUGAUUGUGAGAUGGCCGAUGGCCGAUGAUCUAUUACGGCAUCAUUGUUGCAAGGCCGAUUUCGAUGAUAUUCCAGAAUCGUUGUUCGUGCAUGGACUCUGCGGGUCCCCCAGGGUGGUGCAGAUGAGAACCCCCGUGGGAAAAGAUCCGGGUUCCCGUCUGUCUGUUAGGCAAAGAUUCGGGAUGGGUGGCACUUAGACUUCGUUAGUCACGCUGGGUUGUGCUACCGAGACGUCAAUAUUUCCGUUCGGAGUACAUGUGUACACCGCAUUUGCAUGGCAUUGCAUUGCACUCAUACCAUUACUGCAUUGCAUUAUGACUUUAUUGUGAUGGUUGGUGUUGUAUUGUGAUAUUGGAUUGGAUACCUUCAUACUUGGGACAAUUGGGAUUAGAUACUCUACGUAGGUGAUGACGGACUAUUGGAAUUGAUCGCAUUGUCUUAUACUUGUUAGUUUCCUUGCUUAUCUGUUUUAUUUUAUGAAUUGUGUUAACUAUGCUUAGUCGGCCGAUGAUGCCUACAAGUACUGUUGUUUGUACUGACCUGCACUUGUUGCAUUCUUUUAUGAAUGCAAAGUAUCAGGUCGGAUCCACUUCCGUGACCCGUGGCUGAUAGACGCAUUCGGCUUUCUCUCGAGUUUCCAGGGUGAGCAUGACCGUCCGCUGAUCUUUGUCCUAUUUAUUUCAGAGACAUAGACAUUUUAUGUAUUAGUAUUCCAUAUUGUAUUAUUUCCCCUUAAAUGCUCUUGUGUUAUUCAGACUAAACCCUGGGGGUGUAUAUUGUCUUCCACAUUUUCUACUACUUCAUGCUCUAUAUCCCCAAUUAUCAGUUCUAGCUUCACAUAAUUUAAAGUGACUUAUGGUUU